ensembl:lncRNA
CUACUAUGGUGACCAUAGGUUAUGGCUACUAUGGUGACCAUAGGUUAUGGCUACUAUGGUGACCAUAGGUUAUAGCUACUAUGGUGACCAUAGGUUAUGGCUACUAUGGUGACCAUAGGUUAUGGCUACUAUGGUGACCAUAGGUUAUAGCUACUAUGGUGACCAUAGGUUUUGGCUACUAUGGUGACCAUAGGUUAUAGCUACUAUGGUGACCAUAGGUUAUGGCUACUAUGGUGACCAUAGGUUAUAGCUACUAUGGUGACCAUAGGUUAUAGCUACUAUGGUGACCAUAGGUUAUGGCUACUAUGGUGACCAUAGGUUAUGGCUACUAUGGUGACCAUAGGUUAUAGCUACUAUGGUGACCAUAGGUUAUGACUACUAUGGUCACCAUAGGUUUUGGCUACUAUGGUGACCAUAGGUUAUGGCUACUAUGGUGACCAUAGGUUUUGGCUACUAUGGUGACCAUAGGUUAUAGCUACUAUGGUGACCAUAGGUUAUAGCUACUAUGUCUGUGUAGAUUGCUGAGGGUUUCUUUAUUUUUUAAUCCAUUUUAGAAUACGGCUGUAACAAAAUGUGGGAAAAAGUCAAGGGUCUGAAUUCUUUCCGAAGGCACUGUAUCAUCAAACUUCUCAUCAGGUCUUGCUUGACUAACACCCAGCCUAAUGUUUGUUAUCUUAUCUCUGAAGCAUGCCGCAAACUCAUCACAUUUAUACGUGGAAGGAAGUUCACAUAGGUUUGCUGGGGUAGGAAUAAUCAGGCCAUCAAUGAUCGAGAAGAGCACUCUUCUGAUAAUUCUGAUAAUUAGUGAUCAAAUCAGAGAAAUUUGCCCUUCUGUCAUUUCUAAUUGCCUUAUUCCCGAUGCCAAGUUGAUCUCACAGAAUAUCAUAAUGGACCUGCAACUUUGACUUUCUCCACUUCCUCUCCGCCUGUCUGCAAUUUCUCUUUAAUUUAUUCAUUUUCUCUCUCAUUGUCACGACUUCCGCUGAAGUUGGCUCUCCUGCCUAUUCGGGCGGUGCUCGGCGGUCGUCGUCACCGUCCUACUAGCCACUACCGAUCCCUUUUUCGUUUGUCUGUUGGUUUUGUCUUAUUAGUUUCACCUGUGUGUAUUUUAGUUUAAUUAACGUCCUUAUAUGUAGUAGGUUGUCCCGCUCUUGUUUUGUGCGGGAUUGUUUUUGUAUUCAUGUCAUUUGGUGUAGCACUUGUGUUUUAUUCUCCGGUCUAUUUUGAUCCUGUGUUGGAUUAUUCACCAUGUGUGUUGGGUUAUUCACCCUGUGUGUUGGGUUAUUCACCCUGUGUGUUGGGUUAUUCACCCUGUGUGUUGGGUUAUUCACCCUGUGUGUUGGAUUAUUCACCCUGUGUGUUGGGUUGACUGUGUUUUUGUGUG